UACGAAGGGGGCUAGCGUUGUUCGGAAUUACUGGGCGUAAAGCGCGCGCAGGCGGCUAUCCAAGUCAGUGGUGAAAGCCCGGAGCUCAACUCCGGAACUGCCAUUGAAACUGUUUAGCUUGAGGAUGAGAGAGGUGAGUGGAAUUCCCAGUGUAGAGGUGAAAUUCGUAGAUAUUGGGAAGAACGCCGGUGGCGAAGGCGGCUCACUGGCUCAUUACUGACGCUCAGGCACGAAAGCGUGGGGAGCAAACAGG
rnacentral:rRNA from 1 species